CUCUGGGUGGAGGGUGUUGUUUUCCUGAGCUUGUCUCCUGCUCUUGUUUUUGCAGGUGAGUCAGAGUCCGAACAAGCUGACGGCCAAGGCUCAGUUGAGUAUGCCCAGUUAAACCACAAUGACCAUGAGUCAGAAGAACCAGAGCACGAACCAGAACAAGAACCCCGGCCUGAACCAGAGCCAGAACCAGAACAAGGAUCAGAGCAAGACGGACAACUUGAAUGACCACCAUCAAUAUUUAUUCUCUAAUUUAUUCAGACCAUUGAACAACUGGAGCUGUUAUUGAUUUGAAUGCAUUUGUAUAUUUUCUAUAUUUUUUACACCUCUUCUUCUUAUUAACCUUUUGUACAGUCUUUAAAUGCCUGUAAUUAUGCCUUUGUGAAUUGAGAAUAAAACAAUGCAGCAGAAUGGGA